rnacentral:lncRNA from 1 species
UGAGUCCUGGCUGUUCCACUUCCGAUCCAGCUCUCUGCUGUGGUCUGGGAAAGCAGUGGAAGAUGGCCCAAGUCCUUGGGCCCCUGCACUCGCACGGGAGACCUGGAAGAAGCUCCUGGCUCCUGGCUUUGGAUCGGCACAGCUCAGACCAUUGUGGCCAAUUGGGGAGUGAACCAGUGGAUGGAGGACCUCUCUCUCUUUCUCUGCCUCUCCUUCUCUCUCUGUGUAACUAUGACUUUCAAAUAAGUAAAUAAGAUCUUAAAAAAAAAAUCCAUGCACUCUGAUGCAGGAUGUGAGCCUGCAAGGCAGUGGCUUAACCCCCUGUACCACAAAGCCUGUUCAUGUUGAGAGUAUUAAAUGUGACAAUCUAUUCCUCAUUACACAUCAGGGGAUUCACACAGGGGAGAAACCCAGAAAACAUCUUCCCGGAAUCCAAGCAUAACAGGCAACAUGGAAUUCACACAUGAGAAACCUUUGGAAAGCAAGGAAUGUGAAAAACAAAACAAAACAAAGCGAACAACAAAAUAGCUUUUGUCAGAAGUGAGACCUCAACAGGCAUCAGAGGAACCGUGGGAGGCAAAAACCCCAGUGAUGUAACGGAUGGAAAAGGUCCGUUUGCAGAAGUUCCGUCUUCAGCCUGAAUCCAAGGAUUCACAGCUGAGACACGUGUGUGCGGGCAAGCCUUCUACCGCCAAUCAUUCUCGCUGUCCACCAAAGAGCUCACACGGGGGAAAAACCCAACGAAUGUAAUGCAAGUGGAGACACCUUGUACUAGAAAGGCACGCUGCCACCACAGCAACAUGACACAGAGGAAACCCUGGGAGCGUGAUGGAUGUGGAAACAGCCCUUGCUGGAGGUCAUGCCUCAGCAGGUGCCUAGAGGAUUCACACGGGGCAGCCAUGCUGUGCGACACAGCCUAGCCGGGCGUGUCGAUCAGGAUCUGCUUUCUUCUCUCUGGCAAACAAGCUGCAUUUUUGUCCUCGCCUUACUGAUCACAGACCCAAUUGGGAGCAGAAAUAUCAGUCACACGAGCAGAUCUCACUCAUCCGGGGAGGUCCUGGACGAUGCCAGAAUCUGGGCUCCAGAUGGGCAGACGCUGGAACCGCUGGAGAGACGCGAUCCCGGCCCCGCCCCUCGGGCGGGCGGCUGA